rnacentral:lncRNA from 1 species
ACUAAGAAUUAAAUGAUUUUAAAAAAUUUAAUUUCAAGUUAUUUGUAAAAUCAUAAAAUUUUAAGUUUACUUUCAUUAAAAAAAAAUGUGCUUAUUGCGGGCUUUUUCAUCGUGCCGUGCUUAACCCAUCUCUAAUCGUGUCGUGCUUUUAAGGCUCGCGCCUAAACUUCUAAGCCCAGUCCAAGCCACGUGUGUGCCGUGUCGUGCCGUGUGCCCCACCGAAACGUACUCACGUCGUGCCAUGCUGUACGGAUAUGUGUCGUGCUCAUGCCGUGCCAUGUGCCGUCCAGCCCAUUGGCCAUCUCUAUUAAAGAAUGAUUUUAGUGAGUUUGAAAAGUGAUUAGUUUGUAAGUGUAAAUAUGUCGAAAAAAUUUUUGAAUUUACAAUUACUAAACACUUAAAACUCACCGAUUUGGGACAAAGCUUUAGUUAUGAGUUCUUUUAUUCUU